UUCUCAUCACAAAAAUAUUCCUUCUUCUUAAUUAAGUUAUUAAUUAUUCGCAGUGAUGGCAAUCGUAGGAGGCCUUGUCGAUGUUCCAUUCGAAAACAAAGUCGAGUUUGAUGAUCUUGCUCGUUUUGCUGUCCAAGAUUACAAUCAGAAAAAUGAUUCUAGUUUGGAGUUUAAAAAGGUUUUGAACGUGAAGCAACAAAUAGUUGCUGGAAUAAUGUACUAUAUAACAUUUGAGGCAACUGAAGGUGGAAACAAGAAAGAAUAUGAAGCCAAGAUUUUGCUGAGGAAAUGGGAGGACUUGAAGAAAGUUGUAGGAUUCAAGCUUGUUGGUGAUGAUAGUACAAUGCCUGGGGGCAUUGUCAAUGUUCCAAACCCAAACAACACCAAGUUUCAAGAACUUGCUCGUUUUGCUAUUCAGGAUUAUAAUAAAAAACAGAAUGCUCAUUUGGAGUUUGUAGAAAAUUUGAAUGUUAAAGAGCAAGUUGUUGCUGGAAUCAUGUACUAUAUAACACUUGCGGCAACUGAUGAUGCUGGAAAGAAGAAAAUAUACGAAGCUAAGAUUUGGGUGAAAGAAUGGGAGGACUUCAAGAAAGUUGUAGAAUUCAAGCUUGUUGGUGAUGAUAUUGCAAAACUUGGGGGCAUUACUGAUGUUCCAUUCCCAAAUAACCCCGAGUUCCAAGAUCUUGCUCGUUUUGCUAUUCAAGUUUAUAAUAAGAAAGAGAAUGUUCAUUUGGAGUUUGUAGAAAAUUUGAACGUUAAACAACAAGUUGUUGCUGGAAUGAUGUACUAUAUAACACUUGCGGCAAUUGAUGCUGGAAAGAAGAAAAUAUAUGAAACUAAGAUUUGGGUGAAAGAAUGGGAGGACUUCAAGAAAGUUGUAGAAUUCAAGCUUGUUGGUGAUGAUAGUACAAUGCCUGGGGGCAUUGUCAAUGUUCCAAACCCAAACAACACCAAGUUAGUUCCAAGAUCUUGCUCGUUUUGCUGUUCAGGAUUAUAACAAUACACAGGUCAAUUAUAUAUAAUGACUUACUUUUAGUUUCUUAAUGAUGUACUAUAUAACACUUGCGGCAACUGAUGCCGGGAAUAAGAAAGAAUAUGAAGCCAAGAUUUGGGUGAAGGAAUGGGAGGACUUCAAGAAAGUUAUAGACUUCAAGCUUGUUGGUAAUGAUAGUGAGAAAAAACUUGGGGGCUUUACCGAAGUUCCAUUCCCAAACAGCCCCGAGUUUCAAGAUCUUACACGUUUUGCUGUUCACCAAUAUAAUAAGGACCAGAAUGCUCAUCUGGAGUUUGUAGAAAAUUUGAAUGUGAAAAAACAAGUUGUUGCUGGAAUGUUGUACUACAUAACAUUUGCGGCAACAGAUGGUGGAAAGAAAAAAAUAUAUGAAACUAAGAUUUGGGUUAAGGUAUGGGAGAACUUCAAGAAAGUUGUUGAAUUCAAGCUUGUUGGUGAUGAUAGUGCAAAGCCUGGGGGAAUUAUCAAUGUUCCAUUCCCAAACAGCCCCGAAUUCCAAGAUCUUGCUCGUUUUGCUGUUCAAGAUUAUAAUAAGAAAGAGAAAGCUCAUUUGGAGUUUGUAGAAAAUUUGAAUGUUAAGGAACAAGUUGUUGCUGGAAUGAUGUACUAUAUAACACUUGUGGCAACUGAUGAUGCUGGAAAGGAGAAAAUAUAUGAAGCUAAAAUUUGGGUUAAGGAAUGGGAGAACUUCAAGAAAGUCAUAGAAUUCAAGCUUUUUAUUGGUGAUGAUGUCCCAAUACUCGGGGGCAUUAUCAAUGUUCAAGGCAUAAACAGCCUUGUGUUCCAAGAUCUUGCUCGUUUUGCUGUUCAGGAUCAUAAUAAGAAAGAGAAGGCUCAUUUGGAGUUUGUAGAAGUUUUGAAUGUGAAGGAACAAGUUGUUGCGGGAAUGAUGUACUAUAUAACACUUGCGGCAACUGAUGCUGGAAAGAAGAAAAUAUAUGAAGCUAAGAUUUGGGUGAAAGAAUGGGAGGACUUCAAGAAAGUUGUAGAGUUCAAGCUUGUUGGUGAUGAUAGUGCAAAGCUUGGGGGCAUUAUCAUUGUUCCAUUCCCAAUCAGCUUUGAAAUCCAAGAUCUUGCUCGUUUUGCUGUUCAAGAUUAUAAUAAGAAAGAGAAUGCUCAUUUGGAGUUUGUAGAAGUUUUGAAUGUGAAAGAACAAGUUGUUGCUGGAAUGAUGUACUAUAUAACACUUGUUGCAACUGAUGAUGGAUAUAAGAAAAUAUACAAGACCAAGAUUUGGGUGAAGGAAUGGGAGAAUUUCAAGGAAGUUCAGGAAUUCAAGCAAAUUGUUUAUGCCACAAAAUGAAAUAAAACUACUCUUAUGCUGGUGUGAAGUAAAGCCAGUUGUUUGGUAUAAAGUUACUAUUAUGCUUGUGUGAAAUAAAGCCAGUUGUUUGGCAUGCAAUUACUGUUAUGUUUGUGAAAAAUAAAGUCAGAUCUAUGUAUCUGACAGUAUUUAAAUGUCUUGUUGUAAGUGUAUUUGAAUAAUUUAAAGUUUGUAAGAUUAAUAAAUGUGUGUUUAUGUGAUGAUAAA